GGUACUAUGGCACAGUGGAUAGUGCAUUGGACUUCUAGCUAGGCCUUGGUGUGGUUAUUCAAAGGUUGUGGGUUCGAGUUACACCAGCGUCA
rnacentral:tRNA from 1 species